ACAAAACUCAUUUUGACAAAAUGCUAUUUCUUUUAAUUGAACUUAAAUAAAACUGCUUGUGAUUUUUGGAGGUGAAAUGGCUUUUAUCUGCAGACAGUUGUCUGUGCUCCAAACCAGCUGGAUACAAGGUAGUUCUUGUUCGAAAGUCAUGUGGCAGAGUUACUGGAAACGUGAGCUGUAGCUACUGCAUCCUUCUUCUUGGUUCAGCAAAAAGCAAGAUGGAAAGUCAAAGCUACUGGUUAUGCUGUAGAGUUUCAUGCUGUAAUCUUAUUUUCCAUGUAGGAAAGGAUGCUUAGUUUUGAGUACUUAGGGCCACUGCACAUGGGGUGGGCAGGUUUGUGAUGAAAAUUUAUUUCGUAUGAUGUAUAAAUGUUGGCAUGGUUCAAUAUGUGAGCAUCUGUAGUACGAGUAGGUAAAUACUUGUGUGUGUGUGUAUACAUAAAAAAAUUCUUCUUUUAUUAAGCGUGAACUUACCUUUGCUGUAAUAUCAGUGAAAUUUGAACAUGCUUAUAAAUACUAAGAAUAAAAACAGUCAUUGAAAAUAUUUGCUUC
rnacentral:lncRNA from 1 species